rnacentral:rRNA from 1 species
UACGGAAGGGGCGAGCGUUGUUCGGAAUUAUUGGGCGUAAAGAGCUCGUAGGCGGUGUGUCGCGUCGGCCGUGAAAACUUGGGGCUUAACUCUGAGCGUGCGGUCGAUACGGGCAUCACUUGAGUUCGGCAGGGGAGACUGGAAUUCCUGGUGUAGCGGUGAAAUGCGCAGAUAUCAGGAGGAACACCGGUGGCGAAGGCGGGUCUCUGGGCCGAUACUGACGCUGAGGAGCGAAAGCAUGGGGAGCGAACAGG